rnacentral:tRNA from 1 species
GGUGACUCAGUGGUAGAGUGCUUGCCUCACAUGCAUAAGGCCCUGGGUUCGAUUCCUCAGCACCA